ensembl:lncRNA
CUCCCCUCCAUCUAUUUGAACUGUAACGUAAGGUGAACGUUGUGACUGUAUUUUAUUAUUCGUAUUGUUGUAUUUGUGUCUCUUUGAAUUAUCUACAGUAAGAUCUCCUGCAUUGAAUGUUUUGUACAUAUAAACUGCAUGUGCAGAUAUAUAAUAUAUAUAUAUAGAUAGAAGAUAUUAAUGAAUGAAAUACCUUUUAGCAGUUUUUCACAGUGUCAGUGUAUUCGUAAGACAAGAUUAUGGUACUGUACAUGAUGAGAGAUCUGUACCAUGUUCUGUCCAUAGUGAUCUGUACCAUGUUCUGUCCAUAGUGAUCUGUACCAUGUUCUGUCCAUAGUGAUCUGUACCAUGUUCUGUCCAUAGUGAUCUGUACCAUGUUCUGUCCAUAGUGAUCUGUACCAUGAUCUGUACCAUGUUCUGGCCAUAGUGAUCUGUACCAUGUUCUGUCCAUAGUGAUCUGUACCAUGUUCUGUCCAUAGUGAUCUGUACCAUGAUCUGUACCAUGUUCUGGCCAUAGUGAUCUGUACCAUGUUCUGUCCAUAGUGAUCUGUACCAUGUUCUGACCAUAGUGAUCUGUACCAUGUUCUGACCAUAGUGAUCUGUACCAUGUUCUGACCAUAGUGAUCUGUACCAUGUUCUGUCCAUAGUGAUCUGUACCAUGUUCUGACCAUAGUGAUCUGUACCAUGUUCUGAUCAUAGAGAUCUGUACCAUGUUCUGACCAUAGUGAUCUGUACCAUGUUCUGUCUAUAGUGAUCUGUACCAUGUUCUGUCCAUAGUGAUCUGUACCAUGUUCUGGCCAUAGUGAUCUGUACCAUGUUCUGUCCAUAGUGAUCUGUACCAUGUUCUGUCCAUAGUGAUCUGUACCAUGAUCUGUACCAUGUUCUGGCCAUAGUGAUCUGUACCAUGUUCUGUCCAUAGUGAUCUGUACCAUGUUCUGUCCAUAGUGAUCUGUACCAUGUUCUGGCCAUAGUGAUCUGUACCAUGUUCUGGCCAUAGUGAUCUGUACCAUGUUCUGUCCAUAGUGAUCUGUACCAUGAUCUGUACCAUGUUCUGUCCAUAGUGAUCUGUACCAUGUUCUGUCCAUAGUGAUCUGUACCAUGUUCUGGCCAUAGUGAUCUGUACCAUGUUCUGUCCAUAGUGAUCUGUACCAUGUUCUGUCCAUAGUGAUCUGUACCAUGUUCUGACCGUAGUGAUCUGUACCAUGUUCUGACCGUAGUGAUCUGUACCAUGUUCUGAUCAUAGAGAUCUGUACCAUGUUCUGACCAUAGUGAUCUGUACCAUGUUCUGAUCAUAGAGAUCUGUACCAUGUUCUGACCAUAGUGAUCUGUACCAUGUUCUGAUCAUAGAGAUCUGUACCAUGUUCUGACCAUAGUGAUCUGUACCAUGUUCUGACCAUAGUGAUCUGUACCAUGUUCUGAUCAUAGAGAUCUGUACCAUGUUCUGACCAUAGUGAUCUGUACCAUGUUCUGAUCAUAGAGAUCUGUACCAUGUUCUGACCAUAGUGAUCUGUACCAUGUUCUGUCCAUAGUGAUCUGUACCAUGUUCUGUCCAUAGUGAUCUGUACCAUGUUCUGUCCAUAGUGAUCUGUACCAUGUUCUGUCCAUAGUGAUCUGUACCAUGAUCUGUACCAUGUUCUGGCCAUAGUGAUCUGUACCAUGUUCUGUCCAUAGUGAUCUGUACCAUGUUCUGUCCAUAGUGAUCUGUACCAUGAUCUGUACCAUGUUCUGGCCAUAGUGAUCUGUACCAUGUUCUGACCAUAGUGAUCUGUACCAUGUCCUGACCAUAGUGAUCUGUACCAUGUUCUGACCAUAGUGAUCUGUACCAUGUUCUGACCAUAGUGAUCUGUACCAUGCUCUGACCAUAGAGAUCUGUACCAUGUUCUGACCAUAGUGAUCUGUACCAUGUUCUGUCCAUAGUGAUCUGUACCAUGUUCUGUCCAUAGUGAUCUGUACCAUGUUCUGGCCAUAGUGAUCUGUACCAUGUUCUGUCCAUAGUGAUCUGUACCAUGUUCUGUCCAUAGUGAUCUGUACCAUGUUCUGGCCAUAGUGAUCUGUACCAUGAUCUGUACCAUGUUCUGGCCAUAGUGAUCUGUACCAUGUUCUGUCCAUAGCGAUCUGUACCAUGUUCUGUCCAUAGUGAUCUGUACCAUGUUCUGAUCAUAGAGAUCUGUACCAUGUUCUGACCAAAGUGAUCUGUACCAUGUUCUGACCAUAGUGAUCUGUACCAUGUUCUGACCAUAGUGAUCUGUACCAUGUUCUGACCAUAGUGAUCUGUACCAUGUUCUGAUCAUAGAGAUCUAUCUACUGUGUCACCAUGUUGGAGGAGUCUCUAGAAAGAAAGAUUCCCCUGACCAAGAUGGCUGUCCUACAGCCAUGUUGCCAGGAUGCCAAUGUCCAUUCUAGUGUUACAGAGGUCCAUGUUUAAUCUCUAGUCUAAUGUUAGUACAUUAUUGUUAAGAGUGGACUCAUUCUAAGAUGCAUUCAGGGCCCGUAUUCACAA